GGGGUGCCCCGGUCCAUCACCCUCCAGACAUGCCGCCGCGAGGUGGAACCAACUACACCAGAGACAAACUUUGUUGACAUUCUCCACAUGAAAUGCUGCCACCUGGGGCCCUCCGGUCCAUUGAUUAGCACUCCCUACUGUAGUGGUCGAGAGAGGUCCACCUUGACAUGCGCACGCAAAGCCGAUCCUUCUGAGCUCCAUCGUGCAUGCAUCCACCGCCACGAAUUCACCGAAAAGGCCAAGAACAUUCCAGAUCACCGCCUUUCCCCAAAGCUCCAUCGGGAGACAUGACAAGCAGACCCAGACCAGGGUGGACCUGAUCGCUCCUUUCCUUGGGCAGAAUUGGAGCCGCCACAUCUCCACUGCCAAUGCUUGGCGGGCCACCACCC
rnacentral:lncRNA from 1 species